rnacentral:tRNA from 1 species
GCCUUCAUGGUGUAGUGGUCAGCACGCUCGACGCAUAUUCGAGAGGUUUGUGGUUCGAGUCCCAGCAAGGGCA